ensembl:lncRNA
AUAAUAUAUUUCUAUAUAUAUGUAGUCAGAUUCUGAGAACACAUUUCUGAUUCUGAUUCUAUGUUGCGCAUUAACUCGAUGCGUCACGCGAACCUGCAUUUUAUCAGUGCCAAAGCAUGGGAGGAGUGACUCAUUGACACUAUUUAAGGCCCUGAAUAUUUGUUGGCUCCUCAGUUAUCACUCUCUCAGCAGCAUGCAGAUGAUCCAAACAGGCUUCGGGAUGCUCACACCUCUGGCUUUUGGCUUGGUUUAUCUGAUUUGCAGCCUCACCGCUGUCCGUGCUGAGGCUGGCAAGGGAACAUCUGUAGCCUCUUCAGGGGACAGCAACCGAACAACCGGUAUGGAAAUACAGCGUCACAACAACACAGCUGUGUGCUGUGAGAAUCAACUCUAUCCAGUGGCAGAGCUCUCAUAUUGUGGAGAGAAGGCUUUCAACCCAGAAGAAGCCACUUGUUGCCCAUAUGAAAAUGGAAGCACCAUAACAGAGGGCCUUAGUGAAAAGGUGUCAGCUUGCUGUGGACUGAAGGCAUACGACCAGCUCAAUCAAAUAUGCUGUCACGGAACCAUCCUAGUCAAACCUGGGCCAAACGCCCAAUGUUGUGAUAAAAAGGCUUUUGAUGUCGACGAGCAGAUGUGUUGUGGACCGCUGACCAAUAAGACAAUCCUAACAAAAGAAUCCUCAGACCACCGAUGCUGUGGACAAAACAGUUUUAACCCAACGACUCAAUGCUGCUGUUCGAUAAAUGAAAGUCUAAGCAUAUGGUCCAAGGAUUCCAGCUGCUGCGAGAAGGCUGACUGUGGACAGAACACCUACAACACAAGCGACAAACUAUGCUGUCAAUCAACGGUUGUUAGCAAAAAUGUAUCAAAUGCCCAAUGCUGUGGUAAACAGGCGUUUAAUAACGACACACAAUUGUGUUGUGGUCCUUCUGAUGACAAGAUAAUCCUGGAGAGAAUCUCUAUUGACCACCUCUGUUGUGGACGUAACCGGUUCGACACCAACAAGGAGUGCUGCUGUUUGACAAAGGAAGGUCUUCAGAUACAACAGAUCAAUUCCAGCUGCCGUCGGGAUCAGGGUCAAUCUUCUGAUGCCACUGCUGUGUUUAACCCACACAUAGGUGUCUGCUGUGGACGCUGUGUGUCUGAUUGGAACCCUUCGACAGAUCAACUUCAUGGCCCGCCUGGACAACAUAGCUGCAGGACGAAAGUUUAUCGGCCUCACGCGGGGAUCAUUUGCGAUGGACCAAGGACUCCUCACUUCUGUGGGUCAAAAGCCUACGACAUUAAAGACCCAGGAAUGAAGUGCUGCGCAGGAACAUUGCACAACCUCACUCAAGUACCAGAGGCGCAGUGCUGUGGCUCCAUCCUGCAAAACAAACCGAACGUAUGCUGUUUGAGUGAGCACAUGGAGGUGCUCUACUCCAACAAGACGAAAUUUGAAUGCUGUGGUCACCUCUACUACAACACCUCCCUAUGGUCAUGCUGUGCAGGGACGCUGAGCGCUGUGCCUCCACGAGGACAGCAUCCGAAAUCCAUACUUCGAUCUUUGGGCAAUUUGAAUGAGACGGAUCUUUGUGGCAAACUGCAAGUCGGGAUUGUGGAAAGGGACGGCCUGAAUGGGAUCGUAUUCAACAGUGUGUUGAUAAUCCAUGGAAGGAAUGGCAGUGUGAUACCCAGGAGCGGGCUUCACACCCUGAGUACAGGAACCGAUGGCUGCAGCAACGCAAAACUGGUCCCUGGGAAGAGCUACUUCUUUGAUGACGUUAAAGUAAAUGUCUUCACAGAUCUCAACCACGACUCUAUUCUCCAGUCCAUCUAUUUCAUUAUUUCUAAGUGUCAUACGAAUAUAUAAGAUUAUAGACUUUAUGUUCAGGGUCGGACGAUUUACUAACUAAUCUAACAUGCAGCUAAUUUAUAGAUGUUGAGUUUUGGAUUAACACCAUUUGUUAAAAAACAACUGUGGAGUUAUCAAAAGCAAUAUUCCUUGUCUCUUAGCAGAGGACAGCCAUUAUCAAUUAUCAGGCUGGAGCUUGUUCACUAAGUCCACAUAUUAGUCUGUUAACUUAUGCACAUCAAUAAAACUACUCUCAAAUUGUGAAGUAGCAGAGCAUCAAAAGAAUUAUUAUAUACAAUGUCCAUGAAGUUCAUGACAGGAUGAUCUAAAUCUUUUGCAUAACUGGUGGUUGCAAUUACCAAUGUUUAGUAAUCACCGCAAGAUGGUGACACUCAUCACGGUGAACUAUUUGUUUUCAAGAUUAAUGUUUGUGUGAUUAAUGUGUCUGUGAUUUUAAUAAGCUAAUAAGCUAAACAGCUAUUAGAACAUGUGUUUUCAUUUUUGGAACAUUAUGCUCUAUUUUGGAUUUUUAAAUUUGCACAAAACUACAUUAAUAGUGAGUCACUCAUGAAAAUGUAUGUUUGAAUAUAAAUGACAGGAUUUGUCACAUUAUGUGUCACAUGUGCUAAACAAAGCUGAAAGACCAAUCACUUAAAUAUUAAGCUGUGGUGCAUUGAAUUUCUAUGGUGCGUUGAAGUUAUAUUUCUUAACAAUAUGUAUGUUACCCAUAGUUCCAUGUUCCUGUAGCUAGGAACAUGGCAUUAGUAUGAAGGUACUUUUCCAACUUUGAGCGUUUUGCCAUCGCCUUAGUGUGGCCUAAAGGAUUCUGGACACUGCUUUUGCAGUGUGUACUGACCGGUAGAGCUCAGGAGGCUUAUUCAUCUUUAACUCUGACUCAAAAUAUAGUUGUUUUAAUGUUCAUUCAUGUACUGUAUUUUUCAUUUUACAAAAACUAUUUUCUAUAUCUUUGUACGUUUAGUUUCUUAGCUGACACAACGGCAGUGUGUUGUCUUGAUGUGGUUCUCUCUUAAUUCAAGCAAACAUGAUUAUGUAUUAUAAUUUUUGUACUUUGAACCACUGUCAUGGUGUUGACAUAGAACAUUGUUUAAAUAACAGUUGUAGCUCUGCUGGA